rnacentral:lncRNA from 1 species
AUUGCUAGCCUCUCUAGUACCGCACAACUUUCCCCGGUGCAUUACACCCACCAUAUACCCUUCCUCAAAACAGCCACCAUACCUACCUAUUAUGGCAUUUCCAUAGCCAUUCCGAGAUAUAUUGCCAUGCAACUUCCAUCAUUCCGUUUAUUUUGACACGCACCAUCAUUGGCAUAUUUCUUUGCAUGAUCGUAAGAUAGCUAGCAUGAUGUUUUCAUGGCUUGUCCAUUUUUUGAUGUCAUUGCUAUGCUAGAUCAUUUCACAUCCCGGUACACCGCUAGAGGCAUUCAUAUAGAGUCAUAUUUUGUUCUAAAUAUCGAGUUGUAAGUAAAUAAAAGUGUGAUGAUCAUCAUUAUUAGAGCAUUGUCCCAUGUGAGGAAGUAAUAAAAGAGGCCAAUGAAGCCCAAAUAAAAAAGGGAGGCCAAAGAAGCCCACCAAAAAAAGAGAG